GGUAAAGGAAGCUGGUUGCUACACUAGGGCAUGGACAGAUGUGGCUAGUCACAGGCGAAAGCUCCCAUUCAUGGCAGAACCAGCAGCCUUGCAUUUUUUAUCUGUGGCAAAUGGACAAGGCCUUAACUCGAUUUUCAGUUUUGUAUAAGCAAAUUCACAAGAAGACUACCAGCAAUACUUAAGAGAAUGCAGCGAUGACUCCAAGACUGGAUCCAGCAAAAUGCAUUAUGUACCCCAAGGUACCAUUUGGCUCUAAUAAAAGCACUUUUUGUUACAAGGAUAUGGGAUGUAAAGCAUUUUAAUCUUCCAUGCCAAGCAAAUAUAAGACAUCUGGUGUAGAGUUUCAGUAUGCAUUUAC